rnacentral:rRNA from 1 species
AGUGAACGCUGGCGGUAGGCCUAACACAUGCAAGUCGAACGGCAGCACAGUAAGAGCUUGCUCUUACGGGUGGCGAGUGGCGGACGGGUGAGGAAUACAUCGGAAUCUACUUUUUCGUGGGGGAUAACGUAGGGAAACUUACGCUAAUACCGCAUACGACCUACGGGUGAAAGCAGGGGAUCUUCGGACCUUGCGCGAUUGAAUGAGCCGAUGUCGGAUUAGCUAGUUGGCGGGGUAAAGGCGCACCAAGGCGACGAUCCGUAGCUGGUCUGAGAGGAUGAUCAGACACACUGGAACUGAGACACGGUCCAGACUCCGACGGGAGGCAGCAGUGGGGAAUAUUGGACAAUGGGCGCAAGCCUGAUCCAGCCAUACCGCGUGGGUGAAGAAGGCCUUCGGGUUGUAAAGCCCUUUUGUUGGGAAAGAAAAGCAGCAGGUUAAUACCCCGCUGUUCUGACGGUACCCAAAGAAUAAGCACCGGCUAACUUCGUG